rnacentral:rRNA from 1 species
AUCAAAUUAACUAAUCUUUUUUAUGGAUGCUCAACAAGAGAGAGUUGGACCACCAAUAACAUGUCAAUUGAACAAAGACUCUUCGGACUUAGCAUUAAGAAAUAGUUGAAAAGUCCAACGCUUCCUCAUCAUCUAAUUAAAAUUUAUAAUCAUAUUUUCUGUAAUUAAAAUUCUUGCCAAGAAGAAGAAGAAUUGGUUUCUACUAUAAUCAUGCAUAUAGUGUCAUAUAUAAUAAUCUGACGGUGUUUUCAAUCAAAGUGUCAUCCAACUAUAUAUAUAUAUAUAUAUAUAUAUAUAUAUAUAUCAUAUUAAAGUAAUAAGCUAAUGAAAUUUACAUAUAAUUUAUUUAAAUUUAAAUAAUAUGAAAUAUUAAACACUAAUUUUUAUUUUUUAAUAAAUAUUGUAUUAUAAUUUUAUAUAUUUAUUUAAUUAUUACCGGGUUAAACGGUUCAACCACUGACUCAUCGAUUAAACCACUAACCUAAUGACUCAAUAACUUUAUUAGAUCGAUUGCUGGUUCGAUUUUGAUAACUAUGACUGAGGUGAAUGUUUUACCUUAUUUUAUCAGGUACAGGUUAAAAGUUACCCUUUUAGCCUGACAGAAAAAAGUAAAGCAUUUACCUCUAACUUCUGAUACAGAUAAGUGUCUAAAUGUUUAGUAUAAUCAUCAGAAAGAUUUUUAAAUAUAUUUGAAAUACUGGAGUUCUAAUAAUCUUAACUAUUAAUUUUAAUUAAUGUAUAUUAUAUAUAUUUUUAUAAUUAAAAUUAAUGGUUAAAAUUAUUAGAAUACAGAUAUACUUAGUACAUUUAAAAUUCUUUCCAACCAUUAAACUAUUGAUAUAUUAUUUAACGGUCAAGAAUAAAAAUAUUAAUCACAAUUUUGUCCUGUUUUAGACAAAUGAAUCUAUAGAAGAGUUCAUUCAUUCAGUUGGGAUCCCAUUAUUUGCAGUUUGGGCUAGUCUAUUGGAAUAGACCCUAAUCAAGAAAAAAAAGAAGGCAAAGUUGUGAAAUGUUUUAUGUCUAAAUCUGAAAUAAAUAAUUAAAAUUAUUUAUAGUAAUAUAAUAUUUUUUAUAAAUUAUUACAUAUAUAUCUUUAUAUAUAGUGACUAAUUGGUAACAGAAUUUUUUUUAUAUACCUAACAUUAUUUUUUAUCUAUAAAGUAAAAUUAUUUAACACCGUAUUUAUUAUAGAUAGAAGUAGUGGGAACAAUUAUUAUUAUUAUUAUUAUUAUUAUUAUUAUUAUUAUUAUUAUUAUUAUUAUUAUUAUUAUUAUUAUUAUAUUUUCUUGGCCUAUUAAUAAAAGGAAUCAUAACAGAAAAACAAAAAACAAAAAUUACGCAUACCGAAAAUUAAAAAGAAACAAAAUCUUAGAUUUUUUGAAUCAUUUUGGUUUUUAUAAAUCAAAAUAUAGUUUUAAUUCAAUUCAAUUAAAAAAUUAUUUAUCUUAAUUUCUAUCGUUACCUUUUUUUUAUGGAUCAUUACCUAUUUCAUUUAAAAGGAAUAGUAAUAUUUCUUUUAUCGAGUUCAAUUUUGAUACACUAACAAUGUAAAAUAUUUUACACAGUCGUACAAUCACAUCUGUUCUUUUAGAUGACCAUUCACGUGAUCAAUAUUAAAAAUAGUUAUUUCUACUGAUGUAACACUACGUAAUUGUAUAUACGUGUAAAACUACCUUAUCACCAUUAAAUUCUUCAUUUACCAUGUCAAACUAAUAAUAAGUAAUAAGAAGACAAGAAUGAAAACUGAAAAAUACAGCUCUCACAUGAGAAACUGCAAAUAUAUGUUGAACCUAAUGGAUCUAGAGGCUUCUUUUUCAUUUCAAAACAUAGGCCUUGGAUACUUGUAGCAUAUGACCUUCUAAAAUAAUUUAUUAUGGGUUGUUAACAAUAGAAGGCCCAAUAACCUUUCUAAAAAAUUUUAUGCUAUAUUUUUUAUUGGCCCAAUAUCCAAUACAAAUUUUUGUUAUUUUCGAAAUAAAACUCAUGUGGUAGAACAAAGAACUUCUCCCUAAACCCAUAAACAAGUUCUCCGGUAAUAAAGCAAGGAAUUUUUUUGCCACACCACCAAAAUUUGUCACGCGUACAGCACUGAAUCCUGCCAUGUGCAAGUUAAAACUCACCCAUGUUUUAUGAUAAGAAAUAAAAAAAUGAAGAACCAAAGGAAUAAUAAUACUCAUUUUUCUUGAUAAUACAAUUUCAGUUUUGAUCUUUUGACAGCUAGUGCCUUAAUGAAUGUUAAUGGAAAUCUUUUAAUAGAUUUAUUCAAUAUAUUGAAAGCUUAGAGAGGUUCGGUGAAAUAGACAUGUCUGUGAAGAUGCGGACUACCUCCACCUGGACAGAAAGACCCUAUGAAGCUUCACUGUUUCCUGGGAUUGGCUUUGGGCUUUUCCUGCGCAGCUUAGGUGGAAGGCGAAGAAGGCCUCCUUCCGGGGGGGCCCGAGCCAUCAGUGAGAUACCACUCUGGAAGAGCUAGAAUUCUAACCUUGUGCCAGGACCUACGGGCCAAGGGACAGUCUCAGGUAGACAGUUUCUAUGGGGCGUAAGCCUCCCAAAAGGUAACGGAGGCGUGCAAAGGUUUCCUCGGGCCAGACGGAGAUUGGCCCUCGAGUGCAAAGGCAGAAGGGAGCUUGACUGCAAGACCCACCCGUCGAGCAGAGAUGAAAGUCGGCCUUAGUGAUCCGACGGUGCCGAGUGGAAGGGCCGUCGCUCAACGGAUAAAAGUUACUCUAGGAAUAACAGGCUGAUCUUCCCCAAGAGCUCACAUCGACGGAAAGGUUUGGCACCUCGAUGUCGGCUCUUCGCCACCUAGGGCUGUAGUAUGUUCCAAGGGUUGGGCUGUUCGCCCAUUAAAGUGGUACGUGAGCUGGGUUCAGAACGUCGUGAGACAGUUCGGUCCAUAUCCGGUGUGGGCGUUAGAGCAUUGAGAGGAUCCACCAUGCAUCAAUGCUCCAUUAUGAAAGCAUGUCAGAAGGAUACCUUCUGAUCAAUUGCUUGUAUCUUUCCUAAGCUUCAUAGAGGGAUUCACCUUCUUUCUGUCUGAAGGUUUGGACGUCCACUCUAAGCUUUCUCAGCUUUUGAGGUGGAAAGAACUUAGCCAAGAAAGUAGUGACCAACUUAUCCCAAGAGUUCAGGCUUUCUCUAGGUUGUGAGUCCAACCAUGUUCUAGCUCUGUCUCUUAUAGCAAAGGGGAAAAGCAUAAGCCUGUAAACCUCGGGAUCAAAUACAUUGGUCUUAACAGU